rnacentral:tRNA from 1 species
GGGGUUGUUGCUCAGUGGUAGAGCAUUUGCCUCACACGUGUGAGGCCCUGGGUUUGAUUCUCAGCACCA